GGCCGGGCUGGCCGGGAUGAUUGCGGUCGUGCUGCUGGCGGCGGCGGCGCGCAGGCGCCCCGCCGGUGGCUAGGUGUGAGUUCUGGUCAGGUUG
rnacentral:tRNA from 1 species